rnacentral:rRNA from 1 species
UACGAAGGGGGCUAGCGUUGUUCGGAAUUACUGGGCGUAAAGCGCGUGUAGGCGGCAGGGCAUGUCGGAUGUGAAAUCCCGUGGCUCAACCACGGAAGUGCACCCGAAACUGCCCAGCUUGAGUCUCGGAGAGGAAGGCGGAAUGCUUGGUGUAGAGGUGAAAUUCGUAGAUAUCAAGCGGAACACCGGUGGCGAAGGCGGCCUUCUGGACGAUGACUGACGCUGAGACGCGAAAGCGUGGUGAGCAAACAGG